AUGCUGGCGGCGUGCCUAACACAUGCAAGUCGAGCGGCAGCGAGUUUUACACUGAAUUCUGGAAGCUUCUGGGUAAUGUAGAAGAUUUAUUCAAGAAUUUUGUGUAAAAUGUCGGCGAGCGGCGGACGGCUGAGUAACGCGUAGGAAUUUGCCCCAAAGUGAGGAAUAACUGCCCGAAAGGGUAGCUAAUGCCGCAUAUGGUCUUCGGAUUAAAGCCUUCGGGCGCUUUGGGAGAAGCCUGCGUUGGAUUAGGUAGUUGGUAGGGUAAUGGUCUACCAAGCCGACGAUCCAUAGCUGGUCUGAGAGGAUGAUCAGCCAGACUGGAACUGAGACACGGUCCAGACUCCUACGGGAGGCAGCAGUGAGGAAUCUUCCACAAUGGGCGAAAGCCUGAUGGAGCAACGCCGCGUGAAGGAUGAAGGCCUUCGGGUUGUAAACUUCUUUUAUGAGUGAAGAAUAUGACGGUAACUCAUGAAUAAGCACCGGCUAACUACGUGCCAGCAGCCGCGGUCAUACGUAGGGUGCAAGCAUUAUCCGGAGUGACUGGGCGUAAAGAGUUGCGUAGGCGGUUUAAUAAGUGAAUAGUGAAACCUGGUGGCUCAACCAUACAGACUAUUAUUCAAACUGUUAAACUCGAGAAUGGUAGAGGUAACUGGAAUUUCUAGUGUAGGAGUGAAAUCCGUAGAUAUUAGAAGGAACACCGAUGGCGUAGGCAGGUUACUGGGCCAUUUCUGACGCUAAGGCACGAAAGCGUGGGGAGCGAACCGGAUUAGAUACCCGGGUAGUCCACGCCGUAAACGAUGGAUACUAGCUGUUGGAGGUAUCGACCCCUUCAGUAGCGAAGCUAACGCGUUAAGUAUCCCGCCUGUGGAGUGCGGCCGCAAGGCUAAAACAUAAAGGAAUUGACGGGGACCCGCACAAGCGGUGGAUUAUGU
rnacentral:rRNA from 1 species